UUUUCGGGGAAAGGGGCCAUUUUUGGAAUUGGGGAACUUGCCNUGGGGNAAAACCAGGGAAGGAAAAGGCGGGGGNAUGAACGUCAAGUCCGCAUGGGUCCUUAUGUCUAAGGGGCGACCACAACGUGUUACAAUGGCCCGGUUACAAAGAGCUGCUAGCUCGCGAGAGUAUGCUAAUCUCAAAAAGCCGGUCUAAGUUCGGAUUGAGGUCUGCAAUUCGACCUCAUGAAGUUGAAAUCGCUAGUAAUCGCGUAUCAGAACGACGCGGUGAAUACGUUCUCGGACCUUGCACACACCCCCCGUGAAUCACUAGUGAAUUCGCGG
rnacentral:rRNA from 1 species